GUACCGAUGCUUACGUGGAUAAUAUUUUCAGAUGCUUAAUUUAAAAUAAAAAUAAAAGAAAUAGAGAAAACAUGAAGGAGAGAAGAGAAAAGAGUCAGGAGCGAACGUCGGCUUCAAGCUUCAUUUUCUCGUCCUAACAAAUCCUAAAUCGUAGGUUUUCAUCUCCAUCUUCUCCAUUUGCUGCAGAUUUCACCAUUUUAGAUCGGCAAGAUAGAAGGUGAUGGUUUUUGCUUGUGUGGGCCUUGUCAUUGCGACUGAAGGUGGUGGCGAUGCUCAGAGAGAGGGAGAGAGAGAAGAAAACGGAAGGGUGGUGCGACGUUGAGGAGGAACUCACCGUGCGAUGGGACUGGGUGAUGGCAGAAGUGGUGGUCGUGCUCGACGUGGGGAGCAGCGGGGAAAAAAUAGAUAUGUUGCUCUGUUUUGGAUAGCAAAAACAGAGAAAAAUUUAAGAUUGAGCACGACCCAAAUCUUCCUCUUCUUUUUCAUCUUUUCCUUUCUUCAUGACCCAAAUGAAUUAUUGUUCAGAAGCCUCAAGACCCAUGGCAAUUUCCAUUGGCUGAGAAUCGGUUAAGUUGGCCAAACUUCCAAAGCAUAUAUAUACAACUGAAUCGUUGUUUUUUGUAUUAAACCACUUCAAGCAUUCUUGUUUAUCGAUGGAGGAUUCUUUUCCCCUCUGAUCUCUGUCUUCAGCCUCCUUGUUGCAUAGUGAAAUUGGACCUAUAUGCCAUGCCUUCCUUCCCAAGACCUUUAUGUAAUGAUUUGCAUAAGCUGGUUUGAGCUCAUAGAAGCUGUUUAAAACAACCCCACAGUUCCUCAUCUCUGCUUCUUUGGUUUCUUUCAAAAACUUUUUAUGAGGUUUAUGAUGAUGAAAGGUUUAGAAUUAGAUAAAACUUUUUUAUGAGGUUCAUACACUUGUAGACUCACCAUUGUAGACAGAGAGAAAAAACUAGUUCCAUGAAAAGCAAGCAUUGGGAUGCCAAAUUUAUCAGCAACAUCAGUUGCCCAUGGCAAGAACAUGUCGGCAACAAUGCAAUGAGGUCGGUUAUCUUGUAGUAGCUGCUCGAGGGGUUGUCGGAGCAUUCUCAUGGCUGUCAUGAAACUAGCAGAGUUUUCAUCGGAAAUUUGGGGGAAGCGAGUUUUUCCCUUCCCGCUCCAGAAGCAGUUGUUUGAUGAAGACAAAAACGUCUUCCCGCUCCUGUUGCACGAAAUCACUUUCUCCAAGCUUUGAAACGCGCCAUUUCAUUUGAAAUGUCAGCAUCGGUGCACUUUCUGGUCCGUAAAUGGCUUGCAAAAAGAGUUUUCCACCAUUAAAACACUAACUAUUGAGGUGAGAUCACGUAAGUGGGAAAACUUUCCCCCCUUUGCCUACAUUUAAGAGAAUAUGCUGGGAAUAUUGGAAUAUGUUGAGAAAUAUUCCCUUAUUAGCAUUCAAAUAGAUAAGUACUUAGGCGCCAAUUUGAAAAUUUUUCAUUCAAACUGAUAUUUUACCCGUUCGAAUGGGAAGUUUCAGAAUUUAAAACCCUUCUCUUCCAUUCUUUCACUCACAACACUCAAAUUAAUUUCAAAACAGAGCAAUUGAGGGCAGAGAAGAUACUGGGCAGUGUGCACCUGGAGAGAGAAGUGUGUUAGAGAGAGAGAGAGAGAGAGAGAGAGAGAGAGAGAGAGAGAGAGUUUGUGGGUGAACUUUGAAGGAAAAAGUAGAGGUAUUGGUUAUUUGGAGAGAUUUGUUGGACUGCACAAAUUUGAGCAAUGAAGUACUGUCAACAAAGCAAAUAGAGCAAAUUUAACGAUAUACUAUCAUGCUGGUUCUCAAUUUUUUCAUUUACUAUCAAAAAAAUUGGAAGAAGAAAGUCCUGCUGACUAUAAUCUGAUCAAAUAGUAUGCUAAAUCACAUAAAAAUCAUGAUAGUGUUUGGACCAAUCACGAAGCAUGAGCAAAUUAUAUAAGUUUCAGUUUUUUAUUUGUAUUGUCUAAUAAUAUUUUUAUUAUUUAUAACUAUCUUUAAUGAUUUUUUUAUAAGACAAGAUGGUAUCACUCA